rnacentral:rRNA from 2 species
GCUGGAGUACGGUAGGGGCAGAUGGCAUUUCCGGUUACGCGGUGAAAUGCGUAGAGAUCGGAAAGAACACCAACGUUCCCCGUGACACUGAGAGACGAAAGCUAGGGGAGUAGUCCUAGCCGUAAACGAUGGAUACUAGGCGCUGUGCGUAUCGACCCGUGCAGUGCUGUAGCUAACGCGUGAAGUAUCCCGCCUGGGUGGGCUGGGGAGUACGUUCGCAAGAAGGAAACUAAAAGGAAUGGACGGGGGCCUGUUUUCUUUGGUUUCAUUCGAUGCAAAGCGAAGAACCUUACCACUCUUUCAAGAGAGGGGUGCCUUCGGGAACGCUACCACAGGUGGUGCAUGGCUGUCGUCAGCUCGUGCCGUCCUUUUUUGGGUUAAGUCCCGCCCGCAACGAG